UAUACAAUUUUUGGAAAGUUGACAACACAUCAUUAAAAGCGAAUUGUCAAUUUGCUCAUCGCCGCAGUCGUCGUCGUCGUCAACGGACGUAGAAAGAAGACAGAAAGCUUUCUCAAUGCAAAAUUUUCUGAACUGUUAUUUUGUGUUUGUGUCGACGGAAAAUAUUGAGGAAAAUUGAUUUUUUUUGCCAAAAAUUUAGAAAGUUUCAAUCAUGGAGAAUGCAGAGCUGUACGAAAUUCUUGGAGUGAAUAAAAAUUCAACAGAUGCGGAAAUAAAAAAGAAUUAUCGAAAAUUAGCAAAAGAAUUUCAUCCGGACAAGAAUCCAGAAGCUGGUGAUAAAUUUAAAGAAAUAUCAUUUGCAUAUGAGAUACUUUCAGAUCCAGAUAAACGUAAGAUCUAUGAUCGUUAUGGACUGAAAGGACUACAAGAGGGCAGUGAUGGUUUCGGCGAUGCCUCAGAAUUCUUUUCACAUUGGUUUCCAUUCAGUGGCGGACACAGUAGUCAUAGUUGUGGUGGUGGUGGCAGUGGUGCCAAUAGUCGGGCGCGUGCAGCAGCACAAGUAGUUAUUAAACUCGAAGUUACGCUCGAAGAAUUGUAUAAUGGCAAUGUCUCAAAGUCUGUUGAUUACAAACGUACUUCCUACUGUGCGGCAUGUGAAGGUGAGGGUGGCCCUAAAACGAAUGUGGAUCAAUGUAAAGCGUGCAACGGCACUGGCCGUACUGCGAACUACUCAUUUAUGGGUGCCUUUGUAAACGCAUUUGAGUCUACCUGUCCGUCCUGUUAUGGACGUGGUACUACCAUACCAGAGGAAUUCCGCUGCACCACUUGUACCGGCAGUGGUUUGGUGGAAGAAGAGGUGAAACAAGAAGUGCCUAUAGAGAAAGGUGCACCCAAUAUGUUGAAAGUACUAUUCCAAGCAGCGGGCAAUCAGCCAUUAGUAGGCGAACGUGGCGAUCUUAUAGUAGUUUUAGUGCAAGCCGAACAUCCAAUUUUCAUACGACGACAAAACGAUUUAUUCCUGCGCGAUAUACACAUAAAUGUAACGCAGGCAUUAUGUGGAUUUAUACAUUGCUUCCAACAUCUAGAUGGACGCACAAUAUGUAUCACAAAUAAAGCAGGCGACGUUAUUAAACAUGCUGAACUGCGUGUAGUCACCGGUGAGGGUAUGCCCUUGCGUAAUAAUCCCUUUGAACGUGGUGACUUAUUUGUGGAAUUCAACAUUGACUUUCCCGACGACAAUUUUGCUACCAUAGAACAAAUGCAAUUGCUUGAGACGCUCUUACCGCCACGCCAACCCUUCACAAUGCCCGAAGAUGCUGAAGAAGUGGUGAUGAUGGAAGUGCCACCCUACGGUGAAGGCAGUCAUGCUGGCGCACAAGGUGGCAUGGAUGAUGACGACGACGAUGGUACAACACCGCAUUUCGAUAGUGUACAGUGCCAGACGGGUUAAAGCGCACUGUGCGGCCGUAAAUCGUUAAGCGCAGCUAUAUAGGUGUAGAUGCAGUUGAAAAUAUUGUGACGACAGAAAAGGCAAAAAUUUUUGGUGCGAAUACGAAAUUUUGUGCAUGCAGUAUGCAGUGCACAAGGAAAACGAAGGAAAUAAAGCAAACAAAACUAACCAAAUGAUACACAUAAAUGAUAAUUGAUAAUAAGCGCGUAAAUGUAAUGUGUAUUGCAUACGUAUGUACGUAGUGUGCUACGUUCAGUUGAUUUCACUUAUAAUUUCACACUCUAUUUUUUUGUGUUACAUUGUAUGUAUGCACGUUUUGGACUUUACAUAUUUUUGAAGCAUUCGAUUUUAACGUUGUAACCCCUUUUGUUUCACUUACACACUUUUUCAUUUACUUAAUGAAAUAAUAUAACGCGAUGUAUGUUUAAACCAAUCGAUUGGCGAGCGAAAUGUUAUAUUUUAAUUCGGCAGCGUGUUGUGUACAAUGCUAAGCAAAUUCUAAUUUGUUGACCAAGACUAAAUAUCUUUAAAUUAAUAAAUAUUAUUAAAAUAAAUACGAAAAAUGUUAACAUUCCGCAAGGAUUAAAUGGAAUGUAAAUCACUUGGGACAUUUAUUGAGUGAAGAAUUUAUGCUUUUCUGGAAAUUAAGCAUAAACGAGGCGUUGAAGAAGGUGAUGAUGUUUGCAGAUACAUAUUUCUCAAGCGAAACAACUAAAUUUUAUUUUUCAUACUUAACUUUUCAACUCCAGCUGUUCGUGUUUGCAAGAAAAUACGAUUUACCAUAAUAUUUUCGGAAAAUAACCAACAGUAGUUGUACGAGUUUUUGGAUAUAACAGUAAUAAUAAUUUUACACAUUCAAAUUACAAUCAACAAUCUAUUUGAAACAACAAUCAAAAAACACUAACAACAUAUACACAAAAGUGGAUUUAGGAGUGAGGGUGUGGGUGCAAGUGUUAAAUAUUAAUAUCAUUCUAUCCAAAAAAAAUCUACAAAAAUCAUACGAUUUUGAAUAUCCACAAAUUUGGGUAUUAGGCGAUUUUGGUUACGCGCUUAAGCCGCUAAAUCGACAAAAUGCGUCAUUAAGUGCUGCACAUAAAAUUCACAAAACUCUCGUGGAGUAACACAAUCAAGUAUAAAAUGAAAAAUACAAAAAUAUGGAAAAAGGUUUAAAGCGUACAAAAUGCCUUCGUUAAUUUAUUGAAGCUAUCAAAAAAGUGAAGCUGCCUUUUGCUAAUGAAGUUGACAUUAAUGACAAACGACGAGCCAAAUGCAGCAUUAGGCCACACCAAAUUGCUAACGGUGUAGGCGCAACGCUGAAAGCAUCGCACAGUAGCAAUAGCUGCCGGCGGCGUUAAACGCUUUGAUGACAACAAAAGAUACAACGCCAACAAAAAGAGAACGUUCUAAACGUCAAAGCGCAGAGCCAAACACACACACAUACAUACAAACUAAUGAUGUUUCUAUGCGAAAGAUGGAGAAUGUCGAAAUGUAAUCGAACAAUGCAAUAUACAUACAGUAGUGAGUGGCAAGCAAAUUUGCAAUUUUUAUGAUGAGUUCUUGGGAUUUUUCCAACACCCAACAAAAAUUUGACGCAGCAAUAAAGCUCGCGAAGAUACCACAUUUCCUUCCUACUGUUCUCUCUAAAAUCAAAAUUGUCCCAUGGAGCUUGUAUUUCGAUGUCAUUUUGAGUGCAAUCAGUAUUUCGUGUGUUCGUUCCGUGAGUUUCGUAAGUGUUCGGGUUUUCGUUCGAAAAGA